rnacentral:rRNA from 1 species
GUGCCAGCAGCCGCGGUAAGACGGAGGAGGCAAGCGUUAUCCGGAAUUAUUGGGCGUAAAGGGUCCGCAGGUGGCAGUUCAAGUCUGCAGUCAAAGGUCGGGGCUCAACCCCGGAAAGGCUGUGGAAACUGAACAGCUAGAGUACGGUAGGGGCAGAGGGAAUUCCCAGUGUAGCGGUGAAAUGCGUAGAGAUUGGGAAGAACACCGGUGGCGAAAGCGCUCUGCUAGGCCGAAACUGACACGGAGGGACGAAAGUUAGGGGAGCGAAAGGGAUUAGAUACCCCUGUAGUCCUAGCUGUAAACGAUGGAGACUAGGUGUGGCCUGUAUCGACCCGGGCCGUGCCGGAGCUAACGCGUUAAGUCUCCCGCCUGGGGAGUACGGUCGCAAGGCUGAAACUUAAAGGAAUUGACGGGG